CUCCAGUUAGCCUAGUGGCUAAGGCUAUGGAUCGCCAAUCCGGGGGCGGCGGGUUCAAUUCCCGUUCUGGACG
rnacentral:tRNA from 1 species